AAGAAUCGAUGACAAUAUUGUAUUAACAUCAAAGUAUUUUAAAGGGGUUAUUAAGGAUAACUAUCAAAUUUAUAUAAAAGGAGGGUAAAAAACCAAAAGCUUUCUAAAAUAUUAAUUAUUUUAAAAAUGGGAAAGCGAUCCUAAGGUAAACCUUAAUUAUUAAAUACUUCCUGAAGUAAAACAUUUUAUUAAGGAAAGGAAAGGAAAUCAACCGAGACUCCGAAAGUAAUGGUGAGUGAAAUCGGAUUAGCCUAAUUUAUUUUAUAAAUUGAAUUAAUAAAAAUCUUUAUUUUAUUAGAGUAGAAUGAUUCCUACUUUAUUAAAAUUUAUAUUUUUAUUAGCAUAUUAGUAUUUUUAUUAAUAUUGCUUCUAAAAUAGGUGAAAAUCUAAGUCCUGUAAAUUUAUUAAAUAUAAAUAUAAAUAUAAAAGUACGACGAGAGAUAACUUGUUGGAAUAUAGGGGAACCAUCCUCUAAGGCUAAGUAUUAUAAAUUUAGUGAUAGUGAACAAGUACUGUGAAGGAAAGUAAUUGAAAAAAAAUGUUGUAAACAAGAAAAUUUAAAAUUUUUAAUUAAAUUUUAAUAUGAAAUAAUUUGAAUUAGUAACUCUAUAAGCAGUCGAAAUUCUACUUUAAAAAGAUUAAUGAAUGACGGCGUACCUUUUGCAUAAUGGGUCAGCAAGUUAAUAAGAGUAGCAAGGUUAAAAGCCCUAGCGAAAGCGACUGGACUAUAUAUUAAUAUAGUGAUGGAUAAGUUACUUUUAUUAGACCCGAAGCCAGGUGAUCUUACCAAGACCAGAUUAUAAUGGAUCGAACGGGUGAAUGUUGCAUAAUUCUCCGAUGAGUUUUGGUAAGCGGUGAAAUGCCAAUCUGACCUGGUGCUAUCUGGUUUUCUACCGAAACAUAUUUAAGUAUGACAUCUACAAUAAAAGAUUUAUGGAGGUACAGAAAGGCAGCUCCCAACAAGAAUUAGGUAAAUGUGGAAUACCAAUUUUACAAUUACCUUUUUGGCGUUUAGGUUGCGGGGACGUAGAAAUCUUACCUUUGGAGGCGAAUCUCGGAAUUACAUAAAUUGAUAGUAGAUAUUCAGACUAUUCAUGCUAAGUUGAAUAGUCAAGACGGAAACAGCCGAGAACACAGAUCAAGGUCCCAAAUGAUUGUUAAGUGAAAUUAAGGACGUAGCAAAAUCGUAUACAGCUGUGAAGUGAGCCUGGUAGUCGCUACUUAUAAUGAUCGUACGUAACAACGCAUCAGCAGUUUAGAUUGUAGCGCCGAAAAUUUAACGGGUCUUAAACAAUCAACCGAUAUCGUGUUGGUAUUGAAUUAAAAAUAAAACAAGUAUUUUAAUUCUUUAUCUAGGUAGUAGAACAUUCAGUCAAUCUAUUGAAAAAAUAGUGUUUCAUUAUUUAUAUAGGCAACUGAAGAGAGAAUGCUGACAUGAGUAACGUAAAAGAAGUUAAUAAUACUUCUCGCCGAAAACGAAAGGGUUGCACUAAUUAGAUUAAAUCGUUGUGUGUGAAUGCGGCCUCUAAGGACCCUAACCAAAGUUAUGGCUGAUGAGUAAAUAAUAGAAAGUCCUUUUUUUAAGGACCAGGAAAUUAAUAUUAAUAAUAUUAUUAUAUUAAUAAAUAAAAAAGCAAAGAAUAUAUUUAUAUUAUUUUAUAUAAUUUAGAUAUAGUCUGAUUGUUAAUAUAAUUUUAUUUUACUACCGUACCCUAAACCGACACAGGUUCGUAGGUAGAGAAUACUAAGGCGUAGAGCUAAAAGUUGUUAAGGAACUCGGCAAGAUUACCUCAUAAGUUUGACGACAAGAGGUACCACUUAUAUAAUUUAUUAUAUAGGGCGGUGGCACAGAAUCGGAGGCCCCGACUGUUUACUAAAAACACAAUUCAGUGCAAUGAUGAAUAUCAUAGUAUACUGGAUGAAAUUUGCCCGAUGCCAUUAAUAUAAGAGAGGUCAUAGUAAAAUGUGACUAAUUGAAAGUCUGGUUAAUAGCGGUCUUAACCAUGAGGAUCCUAAGGUAGCAAAAUCAGUUGGCCAUUAAAUGUGGUCCGGUAUCAAUAGUGUAACGAUGGUCUCACUGUCUCUACAACUUGCUCAGUGAAAUUGAAUUACCCGUGAAGAUGCGGGUUAUCUUCAGAGGGACGGGAAGACCCUAUGCAGCUUCUACUGUAGUUAGUUAUCAUGUAAAUCUAGAACAGCCUUUUCCAAUAGUAAAUAGGGAUGUCGAUAGACUAAUUUUGGAAACCUUAUAGUUAAGGCUGGGUUUAUGUUUACCUUAUUUGUAUUCUAACGAACAAAAAGGGAGAGUUGACUAAUUGGCAGUUUGACUGGGGCGGUCGUCUUUAAUAUAGUAGCAAAGUACAUCCAAAUUUUUCCACAAAUAAUGGCUCAGCCAUAAAAUAAUUAAUCAAAUCAAAGCCUUAUUAGGCUUAAAAAUAUUUUUUUUAAAUUUUUAUAUGUUUUAAUUUCACAAAUAAUUUCUUGCUAUUGUAACAAAUACACAAAUACUAAGUAUUAUAUAAUAGCACGCUUUUUUUAAAUUUAAUAAAUUUAAUCAAAGAAAAGAAAUAAUUAAUUAAAAUUUUUAAUUAAGAAAAUAAAAAACCUAGUUGGCCUCCUUUUUUUAAAGUAAGUAGGAAAAUCAUAUGAUUUUAUCUCCCAUUUCUUCGAUAUUUUUAAUUAAAUGUAGAAGUUUAAUUAUUUUUUUGGCGCUUGUUCAAGAAAAUAGGGGGGAUGGAAAACUAGAAUUAAAAUUUUUCGUAACAAUACUUCAACUCUGCACUGCGGAAGAGUAUAAUUUAUAACACAUUUAUAAAUAAAAAUUACACACAAAUUAAUAAGUUGAAAAAAAAGAAAAUUUAAUUUUUAAUUUUUUCCAAAAAGUAUUAAAGGUAUAGCUAGGAAUUGUAUGGAGAACAAUCAACCAGUGAAGGGUUGCGCAGAGUUCAAUGGCGGAAAGCAUGCUUAACUGAAAGACCUAUAAGUCGCACAGAUACGUAAGUAGGGCAUAGUGACCCCUCGCUAUAGUAUGGAAUAGACGGGGAUCAAUAGAUAAAAGUUACGCUAGGGAUAACAGGCUGAUCACCGACGAGAGUACACAUUGUCUCGGUGGUUUGGCACCUCGAUGUCGACUCAUCCUAUCCUCCGGGGGAAGAAGCUUGGAAGGGUUCGGCUGUUCGCCGAUUAAAAGGGUACGCGAGUUGGGUUUAAUACGACGUGAGUCAGUAUGGUCCCUAUCUUCUGAAGAGAUAAUUAGUAAAAAGGGGCAGACCUUCUAGUACGAAAGGAUCAAUAGGCUGUGUUUCUCUAGUGUACCAAUUGUUUUUACUUUAUUAUAAGGGACUCAAUUUUAUUGAGGAAAAACCUUUUUAUUUUUUUAUUAUUCAUUUUUGUUUGAGCCUAAGAAAUUAGGUUAAAGAAUUUUAAUUGUUUAAAGGUAAUAAUUUAGGAACGCAUAGUUGGGUAGCCACAAACAUAAUAGAUAAGUGCUGAAUGUAUAUCAAGCAAGAAUCUAACCUCUAGAUACUAAAAAAACGGAUGUUAACUUUUUUAUUAUUAAUUUUAUUAACUAAAGAAUCAAAUAAAAAUAAUAGUUAUUAAGAGAGGGAAACUUUUCUUAUAAAAAAAAAAUGU
rnacentral:rRNA from 1 species